AUGAUCAGUGCACACAGGGAUUACCCUGAUUUCCAUAGUCUAAGAACAUCAGCAAAAUUAGUGAUUUAAUUGAUUAGUCUCUUCCAUAUAGGUGCAUAUAUAUGAUGGGUAGGUUGAAGAAAUUCUCUAAUGGCUCAUCACUUAUUUCCACAUUUUGGUUUUCACUUCGCAACUUCCAAAAAAAAACCAUAAAACAUUUCGC